ACUUGUCUUUAUACUUCUUCUUCUUCCCAAAGGGACUGCAGCUUGGAGCUUCACUUGGAGCAGACUGAGCCACACUUGCCACUCUCCUGUGAGGAACAGAUGACCAAAGCUCAUUUUAUGUGGUCACCCAGGCACCUGGCAGUGAAAAUGUUUCCAGAAGGAAAAAAUAAUUUCUUCACCUUAGUGCAGCCUAUUCUUCCACCUUUGAGUUGAGACCUGGAAAAUCGGGCUGACACUCACUUCACCAUAAGAAAUAUAUUAUCCACAACAACUCUAAUCUAUAAAUAAAGCACAGGUGUUAGCUCUGAAAAUGGCCUAGAAGAUACAGCAUGCUCAUGGCUUCGACCAAUAUCUUCAAGGUCUGCACUGUAUUUCCUCUGUUGCUCUAAUGUUAAACAUUUAUUGGUGCUAUUUAUCAUCAUUGGAAAUGGGAUCAACCAGAACUCUGGCUUAAAACUAAAGGUCUGUAUGUAUGUUUGCAGGGCUGACCAUUUGGUAUUUGAUAGAGAACUGAGCUGGAUGCACUCAUGUAUUUAGGAAUGUGUGUGUGUGUGUGCGUGUGUGCGCGCGUGCGUGCGUGCGUGCGUGUAUGUGUAUAUCAACAGUUAGUGAAAAAAGAGGUCAUGAAUUUCAAAGAGUAUAAAAAGGGAUAUAUGAGAGGUUUGGAAGGAAGAAAGGGAAGGUAGAAAUGAUGUAAUUAUAUUAUAAUCUCAAAAAAAAGAAAUAAUUAGUUCUGGUAUAGGAACUAACACUCUUUGAGGCAGAAGGUCAACAGUGGAUAUGUAUUUUUCUACCACUGUAAGGGUUAUGUGGGGCAGCCUUGCACUAAGUGAGCAAUCUGACUGGAGGACAAGAAUCUGCAUAAAGGACAUAUACUUAAAAUGUAACUGUUUUCAGAAGUUUUCUUAAAAACAGUACUGAGUGGUUGAAGGGGUGCAGGAAGCAGGAUGAGGGCUCUAUAACUGGUGAGAGAGCAUUUGAAGAAACAGGCCCAUGCUAUGGGAUGGUCUGUAUGUCAAAUGUGUUGCUGAUUGGUCAAUGAAUAAAUCACUGAUUGGUCAGUGGCCAGGCAGGAAGUAUAGGCGGGACUAACAGAGAGGAGAAUUGAGAGAACAGGAAGCUGGGUGAGAGAGACACUGCCAGCCGCCAUGAUGAGAAACAGCUUGUGAAGAUGCCGGUAAGCCACGAGCCAUGUGGCAAGGUAUAGAUUAAUGGAAAUGGAUUAAUUUACGCUGUAAGAACAGUUAGCAAGAAGCCUGCCACGGCCAUACAGUUUGUAAGCAAUAUAAGUCAAUGUGUUUACUUGGUUGGGUCUGAGAGGCUGCGGGACUGGCUGGUGAGAGAGAUUUGUCCUGACUGUGGGCCAGGCAGGAAAACUCUAGCAGCAGGCCCAUAAAAGGCUCCUUUCCCUGCAACCAAUGGCCUUAAAAUGAAUAGCAUCAGCUCCUGUGGACCCUUCCUCAUCCAUUAAAGGAAACUAGGACAUAUGUUUAGGAGAUAUGGAAAAUAUACACAAAACAGCAGAUUUCUGAAGCUAAGCAAUUAGCUACAGCAGGGGCUUUCUACCAGCACAAACGU